CCACUAAUUCCAUAUACAAUACACCCCCGCAGGUGCCGCCCUCCAUAUCGGUCAUAAUAGCAUUAGCCAUCACUACAAAAAAGAAUUGCAACGGCUUCGCCACUUUGCAACGGCAUAGAUUUGCCGUCGCGAAAAGUCUGUAAUUAGCGACGGCGAUCGUUCAGGUGGUAGCAAUAGAAAUGAGAUGCGACGGCAUAACAUUUCCAUCGCAUAUUUAGAUAUCAAUGGCCACCAGGUGACCAAUGUCGUCGCUAAUAAACUUAAAAUAUGCCCUUAACUAAAGAAAAUAAUUCAGUCGCUUCAGGAGAAGAAAGGUGUCAAGGAAGAGCAUUACAGAUCUCUCUCUCCCCCUCUGAUCGAUUCUUAGGUAGCAGAGAGCACAAAACUAUGGAGAAUAUGAUGAACAAGCUCCAGAAUUUGGUCGCGUACCCCAAAAUCAACGAAGAUUUCUACAGCCGUACCCUCUCCGGCGGCGUCAUCACUCUCGCCUCCUCCAUCGUUAUGCUCCUGCUCUUCUCCGAGGUCGUACGCUUUGCUUUUGCUAUUUCUCUUUGUUAUUUGAUUGGAAUUUGUGUUUUGAUUGAAGAUCUGUCAGAUUCUAGGCUUUGGAAUUAUGAAGUAAUGUGAAUUUUGCAUUUCAAGUUACGGAUCUGGUAGAGUCUUAUCGAAUCCAACCCACAAACCAAAAUGGGUGGUAUAGUCUUAUCAGAUCCAACCAUAUUCUCUCAGAGCCAUAUCGGGUUCAGUCUCGCCUUCUCUUAGGAUCUCUCACAAUCCAAACCCCAAUUUCCCGAUCGGGUUCAGUUUCUCAGAUUACAAUUGCUGUAAGUCCCAAUUUCUAAUUACUCAAUUUGUUUCGCCCUUUUUUUCACUCUGUUGUGCUCAGAUUUUGAUUUAGGGGUUUCUGAUGUAAAAUGGGAGUAUGUUUGGUGUGACCCAGAUUCUAAAUUUGAUGCUUUGAAGAAUAUAAUCGUUUUAGGUUUAAGAAAUUGAACUGAAAUGUUGAAAUCCUGCUUUUCAAGUUUGUGUUUUUAUUGUAGUUUCUUCUUGAAUUUGUAGUGUGUUUACAUUGGUUUUUGGGGGUUAAUGGAUUUUGAAAUCAUGAGGUUGAGGUUUACCUUGUGAUAUCGUAUGGAUUCGACACUAGUGUCUUCAUUAGCAAAUGCUCAAAUGUUCCAUUAGUAGAAAGUCUUUUCCUUUACUUUUAAGUUUGACAAUGUCUUCAUGGACCUUAGCCUUAAAGGUGCCAUGAAGGAUUUGACGCUAGUUUGGGUAUUGAUGAAUUUUGAAAUCAUGAGGCUGAGGUUACUUUAUUAGUUUGCAUGAUCAUAAGGAACACCAGGAAGUCAGGAACCAACACUCAUUUUAGCAUUAGCAAAUGACCAAAUGUUCCACUAGAAGUUUUUUUUUUUUUAUCUGAAUCAAAUAUAGAUUGUAAAGAUUAAUAGAUUACAACACUUUCAUAACUCUGUUCCUUCUUGCUACAGUAUUUUUCUUUUGAACAUGCCUGCUAUUGCGAAUUUGUGACAAGCUUUUCAUUAUGCUACUUGUUCUUUGAGUAAAUAUCUUAUAGCUUCUGGUCUUGUGUUCUGAGUUUGAUAAGUUCAGUUUCAUGAGUUGUACUUGUUGGGACAUAGCUCUUUGAAAUAUGUAUUUGAUCUGAAUCGUAGGGUACGUGGCAAGAUUUAAAUAUGGCUUCAUCUAAAGGCUGGCAAUCAAUCAUCUUAGCAGUUAGUGUUAUUUGUGCCUUAAAUUUCUUAUUUAAAAACAAUCCUAGAGAAGUUGUGCAAAUCAAUGUUUUUGAAGGUAAUGCAACUUAUUUAGUACAAGUUUAUGGUUGAUUCCUUCAGUUCUCUGCAACUUACAUUGUUAUUAUAAUUUAAUUGAUCCUUUCUUUUUGUUAGGGUGGUGGUAUCCUUACUCUGGCAGAGAUAUAUCAAUUGGUAACACACUCCCUAGGAUUUUUCAAUAACUUAUGCUCCAUCAAAAAUUUCUACUCAGUACCAGGCUAUUGAGAGAGGGACAGAAGGCACGAGGUUAGUUCUUCAUUUUUCUGAAUUUUUAUUAUUAUUAUUAUUUUUUUUUAAUUUUUGAUUUUGAUGUAGAACCCAGAAAUGUAGCUAAAAUUUAUUAUUUUCCAAAUUCCCAAGUCUAUGAAAUUUAAUUAGUUUCUCGCUUUUAAUUUCCAGCCCUACAUUUUCCCAAGCUGCAAUUGUUGUGUUUUUCAGCAAUCUGGCCGAUGUUGGCCUUCAUACUUCACUAUUGGAGCAACAUUUAGACUUAGAGAAGUGUAACUGAACUAAAUUUUGAUUUAUUGGCUCACAGAUGAACUCAGUUUUGUUUAUCUUAUAUUUGAGUUUGUGGAUUAUUCGUAUAGAAAUAUAAUGGUACUGUUGGAAUAGCACAUAAGAAUCCAUUGUUUGCUGAGCAGUACUAUUUAAAGGCCGGGUUUCACUUCAACAAUGAUCAGUUUGCUGACCUAAUGGAGAAGCCCUUGAGGAAUCAAUUAUAGCCCUUGUUUGAGUCUUUGAGAGCAUGUCUCAGUUCUGUUGUUUUGUCGAAUUCUUUGAGUUAGGCUUAGUUGUCUAAACUCUGGUAAUUAAUUUUUGGUCUUCAAUCUCAGGGCGAUAUUGAAGAUGGUGAAGAACCCAAAUCAGCAGCUAUUAGGGAACUACAAGAAGAGACUGGGGGUCUGGGGUAGUGUUGCUGACAAUUAAUGGCAUGUCGUUCUUAUUAAUGACACUGAUGCACACACUUUAUUUUAGACCUGUGUUCUUAAGCUUGCAACUUGUCUGCCAAAACUCCUUUCUUCUGUGUACUAUAACAAUAUCUAUCUGCAGCCAACUCUCGUUUCUGCCAUUAUGAAACAUGUUCCCAAGUUGUUAUGUUCUUUGUAUGUACUCUGCUGUUUAUCCUUAUGUGAUAUAGAUAAUUUAGGUUACUGAGGAUCUGUAAUUCAUGAUUCUUGAAUUCUCAACAUGUUAAGUAGGGACAAAGUUGGAGUUGAAGUAAAGGACUUGUAUGCCAGAAUUUUGGUUGCCAUAUGCAGUGCUGAAUCAAUAUCUCAAAGGAUCAGAAGACUGAGAGAUGAAGAGCUGCAACCACAACUUAUCGAGCUGCUAAAGGGCUUCAUGAGAAAUUGGCGGAUAAUCACCUGUUGGAAUUGCAUGAAACUCAAAACAAAAUCAUGUCUAGAGUGAGAUCGCUUAACCGCCCCACCAUUGGAAUGGUCUGCAAUGACUCGCACCAGCUUGCUACUUUCAAGCU